UUCAUUAGAAGCAAACAGACUUCGCUAGAAAUAGUCUAUACAGUCUAACUCUGCUAAAAUGAUAAAAGCUAUUUGUGUUUUACUGCUCCUCUUAUGUGCUUGCCAGGCAUUUGGAGAAGGACCAGCUAAUGACAAUGGUUUUGAACAAGAUCUGGAGAAUGGCUUUGAUGGAAUGAAUAAUGGUCAAGAGGCUGAUACUAAUGUUGAUGAACGUUUUAAUGGAGAUGCUCAAGAACAUGAUGAGCUUGAUUCUGAUGAAAUAG